GACGAACGCUGGCGGCGUGCUUAACACAAGCAAGUCGAACGGAAAGGCCCUGCUUUUGUGGGGUGCUCGAGUGGCGAACGGGUGAGUAACACGUGAGUAACCUGCCCUUGACUUUGGGAUAACUUCAGGAAACUGGGGCUAAUACCGGAUAGGAGCUCCUGCUGCAUGGUGGGGGUUGGAAAGUUUCGGCGGUUGGGGAUGGACUCGGGCUUAUCAGCUUGUUGGUGGGGUAGUGGCUUACCAAGGCUUUGACGGGUAGCCGGCCUGAGAGGGUGACCGGCCACAUUGGGACUGAGAUACGGCCCAGACUCCUACGGGAGGCAGCAGUGGGGAAUAUUGCACAAUGGGCGGAAGCCUGAUGCAGCAACGCCGCGUGCGGGAUGACGGCCUUCGGGUUGUAAACCGCUUUCGCCUGUGACGAAGCGUGAGUGACGGUAAUGGGUAAAGAAGCACCGGCUAACUACGUG
rnacentral:rRNA from 1 species